CUGUAGUAAGGGGGAACUUGAAACCGCCCCCUUUGCCCCAUGUCCUCGGUUGUUUUCCUUCUUUCGCCCGGAUUCUCCGUGCUGUCGGAGCGGGACCGGGGGCUUCCACUCCACCGCGGGGGGCUCGGGGUGAACACGGGCGGCGCGGCGGCUGAAGCGGGGCUCUCUCGGCCCGGAGAGGAGCCGGUAGGAGCGGAGCGGAGGACGAAAACAAGUGCCAUGCCCCUCCCAUGUGAGCGGCGGCGGCAGAAGGCGGGAUUACAGCGAAAUUAUAAACAAAAUAGUCAUUUUCUCGCUGCUGCCCUGAUUAGGGGCGGAAGGUGGAGGAGUGAUAGCCCGGAUAAAUUAAUGCAGGUUGUUGUUGGGGGUCGUUAGGAUGUUGUGCGCGUUAGAUGGAAGUUUCUAUAUAACGUCAGGUUAACUAUAAUCAUCGCACAAGUGCAGAGACAGAGAAGAGCGAGGGGACGUCCAGCUGCAGCAGCCAAAACAGACAGGUCAGACGAGCGCUGAAGAUGCCCUGCAGCACAGCAGCAUCUUCCUGUGAUGUCCUGUCAGAGCCGGAGGACAGCAGGACGGCUGCCAAGAUUCCAGACGGAUGACUGAACCGGAGAUGAACUCUUUCAGGAGCAAGACCUCUCAGGACCUGGACGAGACGUGGCCACAGGGUUUAUUUUAAGACUGUGAACAGUGUGGAGCAGGAUUCAUAGGACCUGUGGAGACUGAAGGCUCACACACCAGAUGAUCCUCUGGGAAUCCGGUUUCGGCUUUUGCCUGGUUCAAGUAAUCCAGGAUAGGUUGGUUCUCUGUAGUACGGCCUAUUCUUGAUUACUUGUGUCGGGAGGAAGCUGCCAGCAGCAGGAUGGAGGACUCGGCCACGCCCUCACGACCCUGUAAAAUAAGAGAGCACCUAAAAAGGAUGAGUUUCUUUGAUUUUACCAAAUUAAAAACCUCUGGAAUAUAAUCAAGAGGAAGAUUAAUGAUCACAAACCUUUAAACCACCAAACUGAACUGCUUGAAUUCAUUUUUGCACAAGGAGUAAAGCAGCAUAAAGUUAUCCAAAAGCAGCAGUGUGUAAGACUGGUGGAGGAGGAGAACAUGAUGCCAAGAUGUGUAUAUAAUACGUAUGUUAAUAUUAUCUCUGUUUGUCUCUGUGUUUCUGGAAGGUUCCUGGGUCGUGGUUCGAUGGCGUGGAGUUUGAGGAGCAGAGCUGGAGCAGAUAUAUUCAGUCAAUAUAUUAAAAUUUUUAUUGUAAAGUGAUUGAAGAGUAUUUUAAUUUGUCCGCUCAUCAUGAGGAACUUCUGAUACUGUAUAAAGAACAACAGCUAGAAUUAA